rnacentral:lncRNA from 1 species
CGCGUGUGGAUGGAAUUGGGCCAUAGGAAAGGGAAAAAAAAGGGUAGGUCUCUUUAAGGCUGCUGAUUCUGGGAUGUUUGCUAGACCACACUUGGUUCCCCAAGGGCUUUCGGUUUGCUUUCAGUACCUUUCAUUAUUCAUGGAGGUUUCAAUCCCUUUGAGUUAAUGGAAUUACAGCACAGUAGAAAUACCCUUUGGACGGGCUGGUAACAUAAGCACUUGCUAUAACUCAUUUUCAUUGAUGUGGAUUCUUACAUCCGCAUCAAACCUCAGCAGGGAUGCCAGUCAUCGGAGAGCUUAGCUUCCCAGGGUUCCCCUCACCCCAUCCCUCCUUUUUUAACUUUUUUUUUUUUUUUUUUUUUUUUUUUUGCUAACUAGAGAUCCUGGGUGAGAUUACUUCCUUCCUGAUAUCUCCUGAAAGACUGCUGCCUUUUCUUAUCGCAUGAUUUAAUGAUCAGAUCCCUUUAUUCUAGAGCAGUGGUGCUCAACCUUCCUAAGGCUGCGACCCUUUAGUACAGCCUCUUGUGUUGUGCUGACCCCAACUAUAAAACAAUUCCAUUGCUACUCCAUAACUGUAAUUUCGCUACUGUUAAUGAGUCUUGAUACAAAUAUCUGAUAUUCGACCCCUGUGAAAGGGUCGUUCGACUUCCCGUGAAAGGGGUCACAGGCCACAGGCUGAGACCUGCUGCUUUAUAAUGUCCUCUCCUGCUGGAUUGACCUGGUCAUGUUAAUUGUUUUCAGGAAGCUGUGUAAAUUAAGUCUCAGUGUUUUCUCCCAUCAGGAGACAGCGACCUCUAUAUUUUCCCAUUUAUUUUAGUUACAUAUAUAAGAGUCUGAUGAAUAUUUUAAAUGUUUUAAACUUCAUGCCAAAGUUGAAAGGAAUUCUUUCCUAUGCUUGCUCUGGUAGUUUUUUUUGCACAUACUUGAGAAAUUUUUUUGGAGUUUUAUUUCCAGUGCUCAGAUCAUGUUACAAAGUUUCUAAAUCAUGUACAUUUGGUUUUGACCUACCCCCUUUAUUCUGUGGUUGUGUUAAUAAUUCAUAGAUGUGGGGGGAUGUGGAGGCAAACCUGGUGAAGGAAGAAAUGAGACGGAGAACAAGGCACCCCAAGCUCCUACGACCCCUUAAAGAGUCCUGAUCCAGUGUCCACAGUGUAUGAUCUGACUUGCUCCGGGCGUACCCGUGAGACAACACAAAGAACCUGAGGCCAGAGCAGUGGCUGCUUUGCUUGUCUUCAUGGAAAUCUCCCUGGGGGAUCGGGGAUCGGACUCUCUCCUGCAGGCUCGUGGUCAGGUGAGUCAGAUUCUGCUAAACAACAAUAGUUACACUCUGAUUUGGCCUUGAAUACAUAAACAUACCCAAAUUGGCUAAAAAGCUACAUAUAAGCUCAUGUAAUAAACAAUAAAGUUAGAUCUGCACUCUGAUGCUCGGCUCCGGAGUCUGAAUCCAGGGCUUCGUUGUGGGCGCCAUCUCCACUUUCCCCCCACUUCCGGUCCCUGUUCCCACAUAACAAAUCUCUGGGACCCGCUGGAUCCGGAGUUCUUCAAAGGUCGUUCAAAGGCCUUCGUUAGCUUAUUAAAUGUUACUACCAAUUCAGUGCCUUCUGCUCUUUAACUAUUCAAUCAUAAAACUAAACGACCAAACCAAGUGCUAAGAUACAUGUUACAGAACCGAUACUCCGCACAAAGGAAGUCACCAUAGGAAAGGUACUUCACAGAGUUCUUCCAUGAGGUUCAAGUUGCAUGGAGAAGGGUAGACCUUGAGUUAACUGAAGCCGAGCUUUGGGGAGGAACUGCAAUGGUACAGUUUUAGUGUCAAAAUGUAGAGCUGUAGCUGUCUAAUUUCAUGGCCAUCUGUUUAAUUUCAAAGUUUGGCUUACUUUCUCUUCUUCCCCAUGAAGGUUCUAGUGCCUUAAGUUCAAUUCUAUACUCCCAUGCUAGGCUUUUAAGUGCCCCACCAUGGUGCCUGGCCUUUUGUUUGUUUGGUUUGGUUUUUUAGUUUGUUUUUGUUUUUAAAUUUUUAUUUAUUUUUAUUUUAUGUGCAUUGAUGUAGCGCGUAUGUGUGUAUGAGGGUGUCAUGCAUACCCGAAACAGCAGUUAUAGACAGUUGUGAGCUGCCAUGUGGGUGCUGGGAAUUAAACCUGGGUCCUUUGGAAGAGCAGCUGCUGAGCUACCUCGCCAACCCCUUGUUUUGUAUUUGUGUGGAUGCUGGGUCUUGAACUCAGGACCUUCAUGGUGAUCAAGAGAAAGGGGGGUCUGCCAUAACAUACUAGGGCAUACUCCUAGUGAACUACAUCCUCAGGCUUAGUCCCAUCUCUUGAAGUUUCCAGAACCUCCCAAAAUAACAGUCAUCAUCCGGGGACCAAACACUCAACAAGGAGCCACGGAGGAGCCUUCAUAUUCAAACACAACAAACAACGUGCAACCUAAUGAGUUGCCUGCAAAUGUGACUUGCUCGAAAAUGACUGUGCAGGUCCACAGCGUCUCAUCCAGGAAUCCACACUUUGCCUGUGGCUCUUCACCACAGAGAAAGCAAUUGGCCUGUGAGGAAAGUUUAUUAAACAUGCUGUGCUGGCUGCCUGGAAAUUACUUUUUUCAAAGCCCUUUAGAAAUCCGUGGUCCUAUGAGCUUAGCUUUUGGACCGGUUACCCACCUGCAGUAAAAAGUAAUUACAGCUGUCAGCCACAAAUAAUUGCUCAGGCAUCUAAAUGAAUGUGGAAUGGUCUCUGGGAGGCAUUACCGUUGUGAAUGAGUCGGCUCAGCCUGUGGCCUCUGCCUUGGUGGCUGGCAAAUUGGGCCAUCUGUCUCAACCAGUGUGGAAACGUGAAAAGGGCAAGGGGGUUUUAAUUGGUAGGAGCAAGUCAGAGCUUAGUCUCUGAAGGGCAGAGUCAACUGCUCUGCUGUGCAAGCUUCGAGUCUCUUCUCUGCUGGGCUCUCUGGGUAGUUUUUCCAUUCAAGGUCUCGUCUCUGGUUCUGUCUUACAACACUAAAGUUCUGACCUUUCCUUCCUAUUCUUCCUCAGUGUUCAUUAAGCUUUACAAAGGAGUCUAGUAGGCAGACAUCCUCGAGUAUACAGCUGGGUAGCCAUACUGGACCAUUAUGGUUACGGCUUACAAAGGAAGUGAAUGGAAAAACUUUGGCAAGGACAGAAAAAUCAAUUUAUAAUAGAGAAAAGAAUUCAGAAUGCUACAUACUGGUAAUGUCUUUCCACUAAUAGUGAAAAGCCCAAGGUGUUCAGGGCUCCUGAAGGACCCUGCUUGUAUCUCCAGAAAAGCUAGCCCUGAUAGCUAAGUAUCCCAAUGUUUGGCCCAGGUCUCUCGGGGCAUUUGCGUCUGUUUCAUCUUUAUCAAAGUGAAAGGCAUGGUGAUUGUUGAGGGCUCUCCUUGUUUUAAAAUUCUCUUCAGGGUUUGAGGCACACCUGAGCAAUGUGGUCUGGAUGCCGAGCUCGGCAAUGCUGUGGACAGAAAGCCGAGAGGCGGCGAGUUUCUAGUGUUUUGUUUCUCUGUUUCUGUUUGUUUUGUGUGAGCAAUUGAACCCACAGCCCCACUCAUGCUAGGCAAGCUCUCUACCACUGAGCUAUGCUCCCAGCUCUUUAGUGUUUUCCUUCAGAAAUAUAAUUGAAAGGUGUUUUUUACAUUUUUUUAUUUUAAUUUUUUUCAAGCGUGUCUUAUGUGUGGUGUAUGGGCAACAUACAUACAUAGCUAUGUAUGUACACAAAGGCCAGUAGAGGAUGUCAGAUCACUCUCCACUGUGUAUGUGUUUAUUUUUAUUUUUAUUUUUUUUUUAGGCAGUGUCUCUCACUGAGCCUGAAGCUAGCCUAUUGGUCAGCAAGCUCUAGCUAGCUUCCUGUCUCCACCUCCCUGGGGUUACAAAUCUAUAUGGCCACACUGGCUUUUUACAUCAGUGUUGGAAGUUUAGACUCUGGUGCUUAUGUGUAACCUGGAAGCACUCUUACUCAGUGAACCAUCUCUCCAGCCCCACCUGCAAGGUUGUUUUGUUUUGUUUGUCCAUGGGGCCACAGAGCAUGAUUAAGUCCUGGGGGGAAUUUGAAGUAUAACUGGGUCAGUAUUUGGGAGGAAACUGUGUAUCCGGAUAUGGGAUGUGAUUCAUCAUGCUAAAUCCAAGCUGACUUACCGUGGAUUCAUGACUUUCUAAAAACAAAUACUAUUGGUUUAGAAUUUGCUACUGAGAAUAGGGGUCCUUUUUAAAAUAUUUAUGCCGUGGGUUAGUCACUUAAGUGACAGUAAUUAGCAAGUAUCAGAGAUAAUUGUUUACCAAUUAAUUAUUCACUGCAAGCCAGUUUUCUUUCUUUUUCUUUAGAUUGACACUCUGAUCAUUCUGUGAAAGAUGCUAAUGGGAACGAGCAGGUGUGUGUGACCCUGUACUUCAGCUGCUCUGAAACUGUGACUUUUUUUUUUUAAGAUUUGUUUUAUUUUUAUGUGAUUGCUAUCUCUGCAAAGAUGUUUGUGGACCAUGUAUCUGCCCUGUGCCUGAGGAGGUCAGAAGUGGCUGUUGUUGGAGCCCCUUGAACUAUUGUGGGUACUGGGAACUGAACCUGGGUCCUCUGCAAGAACAACCAAUUCUCUUAACCUCUGAGUCAUUUCCCCCAAUUAAAAUAUAGUUUAUAUUUAAAAUCGUAUUUUGGAUUAUUUUUAAAUUUUUUUACAUUUAUUUAGUGUGUGUGUGUGUGUGUGUGUGUGUGUGUGUGUGUGUGUGUGUCUAACAUGCUACAGAGGUCUGUGGAGGUCAGAGGACAACUUGUAGAACUCAGAUUUUUUUUCUUCCACAGAGCAGGAUCAAGAGCUUUUAUGUUUUGAACAAUCCCAGGGGCCCUGGUUUACUUUUUUCUUUAAGAUUUAUUUUUUAUGUAUGUGUGUGCUUUGAUUGCAUGUAUGCCUGCACACCAUAAGAGGGCUUCCUAUCGUGAGUUGGCAUGUGGUUGCUGGGAAUUAAACUCAGGACCACUGGAAGAAAAUCCAGUGCUCUUAACUGCUGAGUCAUCUCUAAACCCAAGUAGUUGACUUUUGCUUGGUUGUUUGCUUUGUUUUUUUGUCUUCAUGUAGCCCUGGCUGUCCUGAAACUUGCUAUAUAGACUCGGCUGGGCUUGAACUCACAGACAUCUGCCUGCCUCUGCCUCCUGAGUGCUGGGAUUAAAGGUGUGCACCACCACUGGCAACCACUUUAAUUGUUACUGUAAUUGUAUUUACUUAUGGAGCACAAUGCAACAUCUGAAGUUAUGUACGUGAUUCAUACCAGGGUAAUUGGUAAAUUCAAGACGUCAAAUAUUUAGUUUUUGUUUGUAUCAGGAGUGUUCAAAACCCUCUUACCAGCUAUUUUGGUUUACAUAAUUAAUUCUUGUCAACCAUAGUUUACAAGUAAUGAUCUCUUGAUGUGAGGAAUAUGGUAAUAACUUCUAAAAAUGAAUUACCUUUUAAAAAUGUUUUAUCCCGGGCUGGUGAAAUGGCUCAGUGGUUAAGAGCACUGACUGCUCUUCCGAAGGUCCUGAGUUCAAAUCCCAGCAACCACAUGGUGGCUCACAACUAUCCAUAAUGAGAUCUGACGCCCUCUUCUGGUGAGUCUGAAAUCAGCUACAGUAUAAUAAUAAAUAAAUAAUUAUAAAAAAAAGUUUUAUCCCCACUCUUUUUGGGGUGGGGGGCAGGAUAGGGUCUUUCUUUGUGGCCCAGGCUGGCUGUGAACUCCAAUUCUUCUGCCUGACCCUUAUCCAUAGCUGUCCUUAUGAGUAUGUGACAGGCUCUGUGCUAGGUUCUAGUUAUAUUUUAUUUUCGAAGUAUUUUAAAACUUUAUUGCUAGUGUGUAUGUGUGUGUGUGUGUUAUGUGAAAGUGGGGUACCACACAGCACAGCAUGUGUGGAGGUCAGACAACAACUUGUGGUGCUGUUUCUUUCCUACCUGUGUGGACCGUGGGGAUGGAACUCUGCUCACCAGGUAUGCAGGGCUAGCACUUCCCUUUUACUGGCUUUAGUGUUCUGUUCUCAUUCUGGUUUUGGCUUGCUUGGUUGCUUGGUUGGUUUUCCCAAAACAGGGUUUCUCUGUGUAGUCCUGUUGUCCUGGAACUCACUCACUUAGUAGACUAAGCUGGCCUAGAACUCAGAGAUCUACCUGCCUCUGCCUCUGGAGUGCUGGGACUACAAGUGUGGGCCACCAUAGCCAGCCCCUGUUUUCAUUCUGUAAGUGUCGAGUGUUGCUGUUUGCUGAAGCUAGUGGCUUGUAGAAGGACAGAAGUUGAGGACUAUGGAUAGGUUUUGGCUUUCUUUACUUUGGAGCGCUUUCUAACUCAGGGUACACUGGAGAGUCCAUUCUUUUAAAGAUCUAAGUAAAAGGCAGACAUUUCCCACCUGGACUCUCUUGUCUGGGGUUUUGUUUUUAUUUAGUUUUUCAAGAGAGGGUUUCUCUGUGUAGCCCUGGCUGUCUUGGAACUUGCUCUAGACCAGGCUAGCCUUGCCAUUUUCUUCUUUAACCCUCUUCCCCCGUUCAAUUAUGUUUGGCUUCCUGAAAUUAAAGUCUUUAUCAUCUCUGGACUGAUCUUGACUUUGGUCAAGUGUCGGCUGUGGAGAAAGGGCCACGGAGCUGUCCUGAGUAGGAAAGACUGAGUGGAGAAACAGGAGCAGGAGGGCUAUGACAGCGUCAAGGGAGAGACUGCACAGACGGCCAGAGUGGGAAGAAGCCGAGGCUGUCAAGCCCUCUGUCUGCUGGAUGGAGACAGCAAGAUGACAUCACUGUACAGAACGGCCUGGCAGAGGAGACUGGAGGCGAGGGACAAAUAAGGAUGCUGACUGAUUAUUCUAAGCACAUAAUGACAAUAUUGAUCAAAGUGACAGCCAGUUUUUUUUUUGUUUUUUUUUUUUUUUUUUGGAGAAGACUGUAAUGGAUUCAUUGAGAAGAAAAUUGGAGCUAUGGAUCUUCUCCUUAUGAAAAAUACACAUUGCGUAUUCCAAGGAUGAUGUGUGUGGUUUGGGGGUCCAGGGGCCCUGGUGGAUGAAGAAAUGGAUGAAUUACAAUCCCCCUGCCUCAGAUUAGGAAUGACUGUACUGUGAAGGUGGUGGCAAUCAGAGCGACCUGGAGCAGGUGACAGUGUGAGGGAGAAUGGCUGGGUUUUGUUCCCUACACUUGGACGUCAGGGGUUGUACUUUGGGCAGCAGUUUUGGAAGGGAAGAUGUGAGUUCUUAGAUUAACUCAUGAGAGGUUUCAUUUUGAGAAUGAAUGAACCGAAGGUAUCAACAAUAACCACAAUGAAAAACACUGAGGUAUAUUGUUCAGUGUGAAUGAUGGGGCAAUGUUAAGGCAGAUACUAUUUCUAGAACUUAGAAUUACUGUGAUUAAAAACUGUUCAUAAAGUAUUUUAUUAAUAUAUUAUAAAGCAUAAACACUGAGCCUGGACAACAGUCAGGAUAAAGGGCUGGGGAGAUGACUCAGUGGGUAAAGUAUUCACCCAUAAACAUGAGGUUCUAAGUUCAGAUCUCCACUAAAAAGGCUGGGUAUGGCGGCAGACACCUGUAAUUCCAGCACUUGGUGGGCAGAGAUAGGAUCCUGGGGCAUUGCUGGUCAGUCAUUGUAGCUCAAAUGACUCUCUCUAGGUCCACUGAGAGACCCUGUCCCCAAAACUAAGAUGUCAAAUACCUGAAGUUGACCUCUGAUCUCUACAAACACACACACACACACACACACACACACACACACACACACACUUGAAAAAAGGUGGAGAAGGAUAGACUCAGUAUUUAAAUUCUUGACUCUGUUACACUGAUCCCACUUAGGGUAAACGAAACAUAAACGCGCUACACUGAGGUCUCUAAAACUUUCACAGUCAUUUCACAGCAUGUGUACAUCUCAAGAACCUCUUUGCUGGCUAAGUUCUCUCUAACUCACGCACAGGGUAGCAGCUGGGGUACUAACCUCUUUUGAGGCUAUAAUCUGUACUCAAGUGAGAGUUCUUUGGAGCCUGUUCCCAGUGGAGAUAAGGAAAAAUUAUUAUUUACCAAACAAAGUAUCUUGGGACUGUUGUGCACUGCACAAGAAAUCAUUGUGUGUGUGUGUGUGUGUGUGUGUGUGUGUGUGUGUGUGUGUGUGUUUGGGGGGGGGGGAUUUGCGUUUGAGGAAAUCACUAGUUCUAAGCUGUGCCAAAGCGAUACAUGUUUUAGAUGCUAAGCCUGGAUCCAUCCCUGAAUCUUGCUUCUGCCAGCAUCCCAGGCUGUUGCUGUUUUGUUUUAAGGGUCAGGUCAGACAGAGAUGACAGCCCUGUGCAGAUCAGUUUUCAUCUCCAUCCUAGAUCUAAGCACCAGUCCUGACUGGCAUAAAGGUUAAACUCGGGUCAAUAGAGUCAAUGUAUGUCAGCCUCUCUAUCCCGGUUCCUUGGUUCACUGAAAGACUUCUGUCUUAGUUAGGGUUUUACUGCUGUGAAC